CUUUGCAACAUUGGCGAUCGAGUCAGUAUCUCUCUCUCUCUCUCUCUACACAAAUAUGCUUAUAUAGCUUCGAAUCUAUGUAUAGUGGGCUUUGGUUCUGUGUCUUUCUGUGGAAAUUUUAGACGCCUUUUCCAUCUUUUCAAUUCUAUUGCAAAAUGUUAUACUUAUCACAAAAUCAAUCCUCUUUCCAGGACCUAGAAUUGAAAUAGUUUUUCCGACUGAUGUUGCAGUAGGUUUCUUAGUUGGUUGCUGAGAGGCCAUAGUAAACAAAGUGAAGCAGCAAUUAAAGGGGAGUUUGUUUGAUAUGUAGAAUGUUUUGAUCUGCUAGUAUUUCUU
rnacentral:misc_RNA from 1 species